rnacentral:rRNA from 1 species
CUACGGGCCGCUGCAGUGGGGAAUAUUGCGCAAUGGGCGAAAGCCUGACGCAGCAACGCCGUGUGAGGGAUGAAGGCUUUCGGGUCGUAAACCUCUGUCGGAAGGGAAGAACGGGCAUUGGUCUAAUAGGCCUUUGUUUUGACGGUACCUUUAGAGGAAGCACCGGCUAACUCCGUGCCAGCAGCCGCGGUAAUACGGAGGGUGCAAGCGUUAUUCGGAAUUACUGGGCGUAAAGCGCACGUAGGCCGUUUUGUAAGUCAGGGGUGAAAUCCCACGGCUCAACCGUGGAACUGCCUUUGAAACUGCAGGACUUGAAUCCUGGAGAGGGUGGCGGAAUUCCUAGUGUAGGAGUGAAAUCCGUAGAUAUCAGGAGGAACACCGGUGGCGAAGGCGGCCACCUGGACAGGUAUUGACGCUGAGGUGCGAAAGUGUGGGGAGCAAACAGGAUUAGAUACCCUGGUAGUC